GAAAAAAUAGCGUUGACCUUCGUUGGGGUUCCUAAAGUCUGUUUCUGCAUCUUGGUUUCGUUUGCUGGAUCCUUCAGACAUAUAGUAUGGAUCAGAUCGUUAACGUGAAUGAGUUUCAAGGGCUGGCGAAACGGGCUCUCCCUAAGAUGUACUAUGAUUUCUACAGAGGAUGAACACACUCUCAAGGAAAACGUGGAAGCUUUCACUAGAAUCUGAAUCAUGUAAACAACAAUGCAACAAAGGACAAUGAACUUUUUCUUUUUCAUUUUCUUUUUUUCACAGUCCAAUGAAAAUAAAUACUUACCGAGCAUUGAUCGGAUUCCGAUCACCGAGCCGGGGACUUUAACUUGGGCCGUUGGUCCAAUAUUAAAAGGCCCAAUUACUAUAGCGCGUGAUGUUUGAGGAGCGUGACAAUAGCCUUUCGCUUGCUAGAAUCUUAUUGGUCGAGAUACGUGGGAAAUCAUCAUAUUUGCCACGUGUAAAUCCCCGCCUUAAAUUAAACUGAAACCCACCGGAAUUUAUUUUCAAAACAGCCCCAAUACUUUUGUAGUGACUAAUUUUCCCCCACUAACUUCUUAACAUAAUUUAAGAAUUGUGUGCUCUUUUGUAACUUUUAUAAUUAAUGGGCACAUUCUAAAUUAGUUAAUAAUAGUAAGGGCAUGCUUAAAAUACGCAAUGCUUCUUCAAACCCAGAGAACCUAUUUAAGGAAAUAUCCUCUCUCGAAUUUUCUCGAAACGUAGAGCUCUCUGUGAAUAAUAUACACCGUUCCGAACAAGAAGAAGAAGAACCAGAAGAUAAAGAGAGAACAAUAAGAAGAAGAAGAAGAUUCUCAGGCUAUUCUAACAGGAUGGUGAGAACGCAGUUGGUGGUAUCUGUUGUGCUUGUCUCGACAUUGUUGUUGUUGAAUACAGAAGCGAAAACCGUUGAUCCCUACAAGGUUCUUGGAGUAUCUCGAGUAGGGCUGGGCAAUCGGGUGACCAUUCGGGUUCGGGUCGGUUCUAAUCGGGUUUCGGUUCUUCGGGUUUACAAAAACCAGUCCCAAUCGGGUAUUACAAAAGUUCGGUUCGGUCUCGGUUCGGGUUUUGUCGGGUUCGGGUCGGAUUUUAUAGCACAAGCUAAACCCGCUUAAACCCAUUUAAUUUUCGGGUUCGGUUCUAAACCGGGUUUCGGUUAUCUAAACUACUCAUACUAUACCUAUUACUACCCGACACACUUAGACUUGCUAAAAUAUAGACUUACUCUUGAACGUGUUAUCUUGUUCAUAAAAAAAUUAUAGACUUGCUAAAAUAUACAAACUGAAACACACUUCGAAAACUCAAUCAAAGCAUGCAUUACACAAACACAACUAUCUCAAAAUGGGGAUGAAAACAAGAACAAAUACUCAACGGAACAAAUACUUGCAAUAGUGAAAAUAAAACAUAAAAGAUCCUUUAUUAAACUUCAAAAGAAAGCAAACUUGUUCAUAAUGAACCUUAAAAGCAACAUUCGAAACAGAGUACAUCUCUGAUGAGAUCAAAUUUGAAAUAAAAAGCAAAGGCAACACAAAAA